rnacentral:rRNA from 1 species
CACCUGGAAACAGAUGCUAAUACCGGAUAACAACAGAUGAUGCCUAUCAACUGUUUAAAAGAUGGUUCUGCUAUCACUCUUGGAUGGACCUGCGGUGCAUUAGCUAGUUGGUAGGGUAACGGCCUACCAAGGCGAUGAUGCAUAGCCGAGUUGAGAGACUGAUCGGCCACAUUGGGACUGAGACACGGCCCAAACUCCUACGGGAGGCAGCAGAG